GCCGAGCUCAGUCACGAGAGCUUGUCACCCAUGUGGGGGCAAAAAGGUGGUGUGGAUGUUUGGUACGAACUAUGGGCCUGGGCCUUUGUUGUAAUCUCGCUGGCCUGCCCGUUCCAAGUUGGCAGUUGGCUGGGGGGCUGUUGCGAAAGUUUCGGCCUCUCUGUCCCUGAAGUGGCAGGCACCGCGUUAGGCUGCUCUGUGCGCUCACUGUCCGCUUCCAACGGUGGAAGGAUAACAGGCCGCUGCACCAUGGGCCCGCUCUGGCUCAAGCUACUUCCAUAACAGACCACCAUCUUU
rnacentral:SRP_RNA from 1 species